rnacentral:lncRNA from 1 species
CGCGUCGGUCGCCGGCGGAGCCUGCGGGGAAGCUCGGACCCCGAGUGGGCGACUGGGCGGCGUCUCUGGCUCGUUCCCUUAGGCUGCGGCUGGAUCUCGUGCUCGCCAGUAGCCACGGGGAACCGAGUCGCCACCAAGCGUGGCCGAACUCGGGCCGAUUGGCCCCGACUCAUUUGCCCACCGACGUGGCCCCGGAAACCACCAGAAUCAGGAAGCUGCUGUGAUCAGGAAGUCUCCAUUACAGCUUCUGGAUCUCUGGAGCCUCCUGAAAUCCACAUCCUCAAGAUGGAUGGUGUGGGCCCUCCUUCGACACCUCCAAGGCUAUGCAGCGGCCACACACUGGGACCUCUGUUCAUCCUGGUGAAGAACUGUCCAGUGACUCCUUGAUCAAGCUUGCCAGCAAAACAGCAGAAGCGGCAGAAACGAAACUGGAACCAACGAAGUGCACCAUGAGAACCUAAAUUAUAUUUAGAACUUUGCUUCAGGGAAAUCUGAGAAAAACAAUCUUGUGGUGUUCCACCUCUCCGAAAGAGGAAGGUACACUAAAAGGAGCUUGGAAUGGCUGCUGAGCACCAACCCACUCCAUAUUACACCUUUGGCUGUUAAACACUCAUAUAUUCUCUUUCCUAAAUUGAGCUUCCAUGAAAACACAGGUCCUCACUAAUAUUCAAACACAUUUUCCUGCUCCUCAAAGGGAGACCUACACUUCUCAGUAUCCAUGUCUGGGCAAUGUUUAUUUUUCCCUGUAACCUAGUCAUGACCCAUUUUUGAUGUCCUACAACCGGUGUUCUAGAGGAGAGUUAAUCCUGACCCAAAACUCCUUCAUAGAACAGUAAGGGGAAGGGGGAAGGAAUAAAAAGGAUAGUUAUUAAUAGAUGUAAAUAAUAGAAAGGAAAACUAGGAGCUACAGCACUACAGUCCUCACAUGUGGUCUUAGUCAGGAGUCGUCAUUGGUAUUUGUGACUUCUUCCUCUUCUUCCCAUUCACUGUAGUCUUUGCACCCAGGCAAUUGCUCAGAGCCCUGGACUUCAUUGCCUGGUGACAUGAAACCUUUCUUCCUGAGGACCCUGAGCUCUAGGACUGCUG